rnacentral:rRNA from 1 species
GACGAACGCUGGCGGCGUGCUUAACACAUGCAAGUCGAACGGAAAGGCCCUGCUUUUGUGGGGUGCUCGAGUGGCGAACGGGUGAGUAACACGUGAGUAACCUGCCCUUGACUUUGUGAUAACUUCAGGAAACUGGGGCUAAUACCGGAUAGGAUCUCCUGCUGCAUGGUGGUGGUUGGAAAGUUUCGGCGGUUGGGGAUGGACUCGAGGCUUAUCAGCUUGUUGGUGGGGUAGUGGCUUACCAAGGCUUUGACGGGUAGCCGGCCUGAGAGGGUGACCGGCGACAUUGGGACUGCGAUACGGCGCAGAAUCCUACGGGAGGCAGUAGUCGAGAGUAUUGCACAAUGGCCGGAAGCCUGAUGCAGCAACGCCGCGUGCGGGAUGACGGCCUUCGGGCUGUAAACAGCUUUCGCAUGUGACGAAGCGUGAGUGACGGUAAUGGGUAAAGAAGCAACGGCUAACUACGUG